GAAAGUGUAGCUCAGUGGUAUAGCACUUGCCUAGCAUGCAUGAGGCCUGGGUUUGAUUUCCAGCACCUUAA
rnacentral:tRNA from 1 species